GGGAGCUGGUGUUUGCUUCAAGGCAUCAGUUGACAUCCAUGAUCAUGGAAAUGCUGGCAUAAGGCCUUUAGGAGACGAUGGAGAAAAAAUGGACCUACUGUGCUGUCUGUUCCAUCAUCCAGAUACAUUUUGUCAGGGGCGUAUGGGAAAAAGCAACCAGUACAGAAAACAUGUAUGCUUCCCCUGGCUCUGAUGUCAACCUGACCUGUCAAACGUGGAAGAAAGGCUUCUUGGUGCAGAUGCAGUGGUCCAAGGUCACUGAUAAGUUGGAUCUGAUUGCCCUUUAUCAUCCUCAGUAUGGCUUUCACUGUAGUAAUGGUGGUCCCUGUGAGUCACUGGUGACUUUUACAGAAACUCCCGGAAAUGUGUCCACGUGGACUCUGCACUUAAAGAACGUGUCAUCCUCGCUUACUGGGAAGUAUGAGUGUAGCUUUACUCUGUAUCCAGAGGGUUUUCGGACUAAAAUCUACAACCUACUCCUUCAGACAAAUGUCACACAGGAUGAAUUGAGAAGCAGCCAUAUAAUAGAAGUACAGAUAAAUCAGACUCUGGAAAUACCAUGCUUUCAAAACACCUCCUCAGAAAUUUCGUCUGAGUUCACCUUUGCAUGGUUGGUGGAGAAUAAUGGAACUUGGGAAACACUCAUCACCCAAGGUCACUCCAUCAGCAAUUCCACAUUGUUUAAAGACAGAGUCAAGCUAGGCGCAGAUUAUAAACUCUACCUCUCUCCAGUCCAAAUCCAUGAUGAUGACCGGAAGUUCUCCUGCCAUGUUGUGGUCAGAUCUGGCAAAACCUUGAGGCAUUCCACCACAGUCAAGGUUUUUGCUAAGCCAGAAAUUCCCAUGAUUGUGGAAAAUAACUCUACGGAUGUCUUGAGAGAGAGAACAUUCACCUGCUCCCUGAGGAAUGUAUUUCCCACAGCAAAUCUCACAUGGUUUAUAGAAGGAGGCUUUCCUCAAGGUGAAAAAGAAGGAAUAUACAUUACUAAUGAAGAGAGAAAAGACAAAGGUGGAUUUUUGGAGCUGAAGUCUGUUUUGACAAGGGUAUAUGGUAAUAAACCAGCCGAAUCAAACAACCUGACCAUCUGGUGUAUGGCUCUGUCUCCAGUCCCCGGAAAUGAAGUGUGGAAUAUCUCAUCUGAAAAGAUCACUUUUUCCUUGGGCUCAGUGAACCCUUCCGUAGGUCCUCUGCAUGAUGUUGUCACAUCAACCGUUGGCACCCAACCUUCUCCAAUCAACAGCAUGUCUCCUACAAGAUAUCCAGCUAUAUCUUCCAUAGCCGUUGGAGAAGUGGAUACCUCGACUCCAAAUACCACCCCUCAAACCAGCAAUUCCAGUGUGACUACCCAAGGCUUCAACUACUCCUGGACCCCUCGCAGGCAAGAUACCAAAAACUCUUCAUGGAUGCCCAGUGAAACAUAUAGUUCAUCCCCCUCAGGUGCAAAUUCAACAAAUCAUGGUGGUGUCUUCACCAGCACAAUCAGGACAUUUUCAGAAGUUCCCACAACUACCAAUGGAUCUACUAAAAAUAUUCACAUCCAUAUCACUGGUAUUGUGGUUAGUAAACCUAAAGAUGGAAUGUCCUGGCCGGUGAUUGUGGCAGCUUUGCUCUCUUUCUGCAUAGCACUGUUUGGUCUCGGAGUGAGAAGGUGGUGCCAAUACCAGAAGGAAAUCAUGGAAAGACCCCCGCCUUUCAAGCCGCCUCCACCUCCCGUCAACUACACUUGCAUUCAAGAGUCCACGGGAAAUGAUCUGCCUUGUCACGAGAUGGAGACUCUCUAAGAGCCGCAUAGAACUGCCACAUAGAACUCUGCUAGAAUCCUGCGAGAAGCUGGAUAUUAUGCUUUAUUAACAUAAUUGCCCUCUAGCCAAGCCUUUACUGCAGCUGCAGUGGAUGUCAGAAAUUUCUCAUGUCUGCUCAAAGGCUCUGCGAGAUUGUGAUUAUAUGGUGGCACACCGGGGAAAUUAAAGGAGAUGAG